rnacentral:rRNA from 1 species
GUACACUCCUACGGGAGGCAGCAGUGGGGAAUUUUGGACAAUGGGCGAAAGCCUGAUCCAGCAAUGCCGCGUGAGUGAAGAAGGCCUUCGGGUUGUAAAGCUCUUUUGUCAGGGAAGAAACGGUGAGAGCUAAUAUCUUUUGCUAAUGACGGUACCUGAAGAAUAAGCACCGGCUAACUACGUGCCAGCAGCCGCGGUAAUACGUAGGGUGCAAGCGUUAAUCGGAAUUACUGGGCGUAAAGCGUGCGCAGGCGGUUUUGUAAGUCUGAUGUGAAAUCCCCGGGCUCAACCUGGGAAUUGCAUUGGAGACUGCAAGGCUAGAAUCUGGCAGAGGGGGGUAGAAUUCCACGUGUAGCAGUGAAAUGCGUAGAUAUGUGGAGGAACACCGAUGGCGAAGGCAGCCCCCUGGGUCAAGAUUGACGCUCAUGCACGAAAGCGUGGGGAGCAAACAGGAUUAGAUACCCGAGUAGUCCCAUG